ensembl:lncRNA
GUUGCACUGAAAAGCUUUAUUGGAAAAUUCAGUGGGCAUGAAAAAAGUCUGACUUCAGAGAACAUUUCAAUAAGACAACUCGAGUUACAAAGUGCUAAAUCAGUCACCUGUAGAGAUUUGAGAAAAGGAAGAAAAAUGCUCCAGGAAAAGCAAAAAACAAAGAAAGUCUCAAAACAUUUUAAGCUUUGAAAAAUAAUCAUUUCUGUAAGACAUGCAGAUGAGUUAUCGACUUGCGGGCUCUGUCACAGUGAAGCAAAGUGACGGCCGUGUGAAGCUGUGUGUUGUUUUUUUCCUCAAGUGGCUCAAUCAGUCGACUGAAACAGCAUAAACAAAACUGAUCCACGUCUUAGGUCCCCGACAUGGCGACACUCGGUGGAGCAGGAGCCUGUGCAGGCAGGAACCAACAGACAGUGCUGACGUUUUAUUGUCGACAUUUCAUGAAAAAUAUAGCAGACAUAAUCAUAAGUGGUAUAUUCUGCCAAUCGGCAAUUAAAAUAGUUUUUACAAAUACUGUACAAUCGCUUCUCAAAAAGAAGAAAAAAAACCAGACAAGAUUUUGCAAUAUAACAUUUGUUGAAUCCAUUUCACUUCAUGUACACAUGUUUAUUUAAGAAGAGAAAAACACUUUACAAAAGACUUUUUGUACAAUUAGGCACAAAAAAAUAAUUACGAUAUGAUAAAGCUGUGUUUAUUGUACCAUCCAUACACUGUAUAAAAGAUGAAUGAAUCACAAGUCGUUAGCCAUUGAGCAUUUCAUGGAUUAUCAUCUUUUCCGAAUUUUAGAAUGACCAAAACGUACAAAACAGACUUAACGUUUAACUCUGGAUCAUUCCAAUUGAGUGACUGAGCGUCACUCACAAGAAAGUGUUUGUGUCCGUUUUCACCAUAGACUUCAACAGGACGAGAGCUCUUUAUCCAAUCACACAUUUUGCCCUCUAGUGUCCAUUAAAAAUAAUGGAGGCAUAAACCAACUCCAUUUGGGGUUCACUUUCUGAUACACAAGCCGUGUUUAACUUUUACACUGUCAUGGUGCCACCAUAAUAAGUGCAGUUGAAGCAUGGCAUAAUUAACACACAAGGUUAAAUAUAUAUCUCAAGACACGUUAACACAGCUUUUUUCAUGAUUUCUUAUACAGCAGGAAUUAAGAAUUGAAUUAUAAACCAUAGAAAACUGUAAAUGAGACGGUGUAGACCAGAUGCUAGGAGAUUUAAUUAUCCCCCUGCUGCUGUGCAGUGAGGGAGGAAAAAAGAAACUCAGUCAACAGACAUCAGUCUCAGUAAAUGUUAAACUUCCCUUAAAGCCAGCUGCUUAUAGGAUUCAGCUUCUGCAAAACUCUUGUUAAAUUAGAUGUGGGAAAAAUAGAGAUUAUACAGGGGAGGGAGGAGGAGGGGGGAGAGAGAGAGAGAGAGAGAGCGAGAGCGAGAGAGGCUAUGGCUAUGUUUGUCUGCUAGUUGGUCAAAAAGUUUGGUUCAUACUGAAUCUCUCAACAACUCUUUGACAAGCUGGUGCGACAAUGGUUAUGCCUUGAAAAACAACAACAAAAAACAAAAAUACAAAACAAAACAAACAAACAAACAAACAAACAAACAAACAAACAAAAAAAAAAAAAAAAAAAAACAAAAAGCAGGGGAAAAAAACCCCAACAGAGCAAAACAAAAACAGCAUCUUUCAAUUUUUUUUUUUUUUUCCACAUUUUUUCAACAUGACGUUACACAAUAUUAAAACGGGAAAAGGCUCAGAAAUCAGGACAUCGAUUUAAUUCUGUAGGAACGUUUUACAUUAAAAUAUGUACACCGCUUUUUUGUCAUCCACCCACCCUGAUUAAAAAUACAAGCCCGACUUUUAAUUUUUCUGUGCUCAAACUUCCACUCAAAAAUUAACACCACUGAUGCAGCAGCAAUUACACAAAAGAGGAAACAAAACCACCAAAGCACAACAUACAUCCAAACAGGCACAGCAGAACGGUGGCAACAGUAGUGUACAUUCAAAGAUGUGGGUCAGUAUGGCUCUCUGGUGGAUGAAGCUUAUUAACAUGAUGUUAGAGUGGACCCAUUAUGCUCCAUAUCUUUACUCUUGGACUCUACUGGAGUCCCUUUAUUGUUCACAGUUAAAAAUAAUGCUCAUUUUUCUUAUGCUUCGCACUCUAAAACAACUUGUUUUGAUUCCGUUCCUUCUCUUAAGUCACCUUCCUUUGAUUGUUUUGUUUGCGUGUGACAACCAAAGUUUGAAAGGCAGGUAUGCGGGGCUUCCGUGGUCAUAACGAUAGAUGGAGAUAAUUUACCUCAGCCUAAGCUCAUUUUUGAAAAUUUGGCCAUAUCUAAUAUGUGAUUAAAGACAUUAAAUUGAUUUUCCUAACACUUGUUGCGCAUAGAAUAUAAUUUAGUCCUGUAUGUGCUGAAGAAGGUUGGCCGGGGAGAGGGAGGUCCUGGCUUUUCUCCUUCGGCUGCUGCCCAGGUGACCCAGAUUCAGGUAAGAGGCAGAAAAUCGAUAGAUUUUAAAAAUAAUUUUGUUUUGCCAUCAGAUGUGGAAUACUCAUUUCUGCUCUGCCCAGCUCAGCUUUGCAAA